GCUUCCACACACAUCUUCAUGCCAGCCACCACGCUACCAACAAUCCUCCUCCAUGAAAGCCCAACUCCAACACAGCAAGCAGAAAAUCUAACACGCCAACCAUCAACCUCCGCACUUGUUUCUCUUCAAAAAAUUUCGCAAUUCUGGUGAAUGAUAGAGCCAAAUCUUGGGUUAAAGCAAUUAGAGGUCUUAGACAAGAAAAUCAUUUCUCCUUUUUUGAGGAUUAAAAAAGGUGGAGGGUUAGAUUUACAAAUCAGAGAUGAUUCAUUCCUUUUAAUGAAACAACCUUAUUUCAAAUUGCCCUAAUGUGGCCUAAUAUUCAAAAUUACUGGUUAUAUUUUGGACACAUCUCAGUAGAGGUUUGGGGGAGAAAAUAGAAGAAGCAGAGAUGGUUACUUACUUCAGAGGGGCCACUGCUCGCCACCACCACUUCAUGGCUGUGCCCAUUUCACUUGCCCAAGCCACUCUCUUCUCCAAACCCUCCAUUUUACUCCACAGAAAUGCCAUCAUUGGCUUCUCCUUUUCCAUUCCUUUCUCCUCUUCUGCUGCUCACAAGUGGAGGCAACCGGUGGUCUCGGUUCUGGAGCUUGGUGGAGUCAAGAUUAGCAGAGAUGAUGUGGUGAGGGAUGAUCCUACAAACAAUGUCCUGGAUGCAAUUUUUUUGAAACUUGGAAUGCAGCUUCACAGGAGGGAUCAACACCCAAUUGGAAUUCUGAAGAAUGCAAUAUAUGAUUAUUUUGAUGCCAAUUACUCAAACAAAUUUGAUAAGUUUGACGACCUUUGCCCAAUAGUCUCCACAAAAGAGGUUUGACCAUUAAGAAAUAAAAUAGAAAUUGUAUGCAUGUUUUUUUUUCACUGUUUUGAGCUAUACAUUGCACUAUUUGGAACUUGUAUUAUCUUGCUAUGACUGGUGCUUGACAUUUUGUUGCUGUUUAUAUUUAUUUUGCUGCUCAUUUCCUGUUGGUUAGUGUCCUGUCCUAGGUGUUUUAACAUUUAAGAAUCCAUGAAAGUGGUAUUUGCAUAUGUUGCCCAUUAUUCCAUCGACGAUGUUCUAAGUAGGGAACCUAGUAUCCAAACUUCCAUCCAAACUUACAUAUAAAAAAAAAGUCCAGAACAGGCAUUCAGUUUACCAGGUUUAUCAGUUCUCUCCAGUGUUUAUUCAACUCUUAAAUGCAGUAUUCUGGACAUACUCCAAAUUUGAAAUUCCUUUGGUAAAAUAAAGGCAUGGACUUAUAGUGGUCUAUUAAGGAAAAGGUUUGUUUGACCUAGCUUUUGUACAAAAAAUUCAAGGAUAGUCUUGCAGAUAUGUAUCAUAUAGGUGUAUAUUUCUCUAUCAUGAUACAAGUGAGAAAAAAUUCAGGAAAGUUGUUUUGUUUAAAAAAAAAAUUGAAAGUUAAUUUAUGUUUUGAGAGGGACAUUAGGCAACCUAGGAUUCAAAGGGACAUGUUGUCUCUUAGGAAAAUAAAAUUAAUAGCAUUCUCAAUCACUUACAGGUUAUUUCAGUCCUUUUAUAUUGAUUUAUUUAAUUUUUUUCUUUAUUGUAGGCAAGCAAAAAAAAAUUUUACAACACCUACUAUUAUCAUUAUUUUGGUAAUUAGCAUUGAUGGAGAUUGUAAAAAUUCUCUAAUAGUAUUGCAGGAGAAAAAUAAUAUUUAUGAAUUUUUGUUAAACACAAUUGUCGUAAUGAUAAUAAUUAAUUAGAAUAAUAUAAGUUUGUAAUUGGAAAAAUUUUAAAAAAUAAAAGCUUUUGGAAAUAGUUUGAAUAGGAGUAGAAAAUUCUUGGAUUUCAUGGAGAGCUUAGGUGGGAUCUAAAGCAUGGGGCUGUUUGCUAUCUAUUUUAGUAUUUGCUGCUCUUCUCUCUUAUAGGUGUUCAGCUGCAGCUUGUAUUCUCUGAGCGUACUUGGGUUGUGCCCCCUUUUGUGUUCUUCAAUAUAAUCUUCAGGCUCAUGACUAGUGCAAUUUCUACUAAUUGAACACUUUUCACUUCAAAUAAUAUUCAGUAAUCUAAAUAGCAUUUAUCAAAUUAUUCUAACCCGCCAUUAGAUUUAUAAAGAACCCAAAAUAUGAAAUUUUCUUCUUAGGCAUGAGAAAUUGUCAUUGUUAUAAACCCCAUGUUUGUCUUGUACUUACAAGCAUAAUUAUAAAGCAUGAUCUGCAUGUCUUAUCAUGAAAUAUAACAAUGUCAUAAAAUAGAUGAUUGAUAAAAUAUUAGAAGUCCAUUGCAAAUGCUUAAUGGAACUGAAAAUUAUUACAAAGCAAGUGCAUAUUUCACUCAAACUUUUAUGCAGUAGUGGUAGCUUAUAAACUCACAACUUUGUAAUCAUGUGCUUGAAUCAAGCAAACUUAAUGGCUCUCAGCUACAACUGCUCUACAUUUUAACCAUUGUUUUAUGUUAUGGGAAUAGUGACUGAAUUACACAGUUCCAUCAUUAUAAUUUAUGCAUUGUAAUUUCAUUUGUGGGACUUAGUUUUCACAUGUGUUCACAUGUCAUAACUGUAAUUUCCCUAAUAUUAUGAGAAAGAAAAACUCUUUAAUUUUCCCUAUUUUGACUGAAACUUUAGGAACUUGGACUUUAUAUGGUGCAAAUGUAUGUUAUCAGCUAUUGCUUUUGACCAGUCAUGAGUAGAUACUAUUUAUAAAAGGACACAAAGGAGGAUAUAAUCCAAGUGCACUUGUAGUCAACAAGUUACUCUAGGCAUCAAAAUUGAAAGAAACAACAAUGAAGAAAAGCAGCAAGAAAGUGCCCCUACCUCCCAAACUCUCAAUGAACUACUAGAAGGAUCUACUGCUAUUCUAGAUAACUUCUUCUAAGCACAACUACAUGUAACAGUACUUAGCCUGUGCUAUGGUCUCAAGAGAAUUUUGAUGAUGUCUUGGUUCCUCCUGUCACGUCAGUAGAAGUUACAAUGAUACAUACUACAUUGACUCUCAAACUGUCUUGAGGUGCCACACUAGUGCUCAUCAAGCAGAGCUAUUGAGGAGGGGACACACUCAUUUCCUUGUGACUGGAGAUGUUUAUCCUAGAGAUUCCAUUGAUUCAACUCACUACCCUGUUUUUCAUCAGAUGGAAGGUGUUCGUGUCUUCUUUCCAGGUGAUUGGGAGACAUCUGGAAUGGAUGGCACGUCUUAUGCGGCUGAGGAUUUAAAGAAAUGUCUUGAGGGUUUGGUGCAGCACUUGUUUGGUAAACUUAGAUCAGGAGAUUGUCUUAAUCAGAUGCAAACUUAAUGCUAUCAGUUGAUGCUGCAGUGAGAAAUAUGAGUUAAGGAAUCAUUUAUCAGGUCGAAUAAUUCAAAAUCUGGGAAAUACUGCAAGUAAAAGGGGGGAAAAAUAAUGAAAUAAUAAAAUAAUAAAAUAAUAAAAUAAUAAAUUUAAGUGAGGAAAGCAAUUCAUUUUUUUUUUUUUUUUUUGAUCAGUAAGUAAUAUGUGUAUUGAAAAGAGGUGCUAAAGAAGCAACUCAAAAGUGGGAAAGCAAUUCAUGUUAUGCAAAAGCGGUACAGGUUGGUCAUUUAGAAGUCAAAUCAAGAUAGUCCAGAAUAAUAUAGGGAAUUAUUUGUGAUUCUCAAGGUACUUGUUAAGAAUCAUUGAUAAAUUACGUAAGGAAACAUUUAAGAGUGCUAUUAUUCUUGAAAUUUCUGAAAUCUAUCAGAAAGGUAGUUUUCAUCUUGGGGUUUACCAUAUACUGUAUAGAAUCUGUGUGGGCUAAAUCUGUUGAAAUUUGCAGGUAAUGUGGAAAUGCGCUGGAUUGAUACAUAUUUCCCUUUCACCAACCCAUCAUUUGAACUUGAGAUAUAUUUUCAGGUAUGCUUUUGAUCUGGCUGGUGGUUGCAUUUUAGCACUAUAUAUUUCGAAUUUCUUUAAAACUUUGUUUUUGAACUAAUUUUAGUAGAAACAGGCUCCAUUUCAUUUUUCUGUUUUUACCUUUUGCAAGGAAGGGUAAAAAUCAUUUAAAAAAUGUGAACUUCAGUUUAUUCCAUUGCUGGCAUGUGUGGCUUUCAUCUGUUUUUAAAGACACUAAGAUUCAUAGACUGAUGAUAUUCCAAUGCUUAUAAUAACAGUAAUGUUGAUGAUAAAAUAAUAUAAAAGUAGAAACAAAAUUAGUUGUCUCCCUUUUUUUCUCUUUUAGUUUCUUUGUUCUUCUUACCCCUCUGUUGUGGGGAGGGGGUGUGGGGCUCUUUGUCGUUGCCAAAUGUGAAAAAGAAGAUGCAUUAUGUCCUUUUAUUUUGGACUUACAGGACCUAUUAUGAAGGCAUUGCUUUCUUCAAUGUAUAUUUAUGACUUCAAGACAUUUUUGUAUUUUAUUUUAUGGCAGCAUUUUUUAGUGUCA